UACGGGGGGGGCAAGCGUUGUUCGGAAUUACUGGGCGUAAAGGGUUCGUAGGUGGCCAACUAAGUCAUACGUGAAAUCCCUCAGCUUAACUGGGGAACUGCGUCUGAUACUGGUUGGCUUGAGUGCAGGAGAGGAACGCGGAAUUCCAGGUGUAGCGGUGAAAUGCGUAGAUAUCUGGAGGAACACCGGUGGCGAAGGCGGCGUUCUGGACUGCAACUGACACUGAGGAACGAAAGCGUGGGGAGCGAACAGG
rnacentral:rRNA from 1 species